GAUGAAGAACGUAGUGAAAUGCGAUAAGUAAUGUGAAUUGCAGAAUUCAGUGAAUCAUCGAAUCUUUGAACGCACAUUGCGCCCGCCAGUAUUCUGGCGGGCAUGCCUGUUCGAGCGUCAUUUCAACCAUCAAGCCCCCGGGCUUGUGUUGGGGACCUGCGGCUGCCCGCAGGCCCUGAAAACCAGUGGCGGGCUCGCUGUCACACCGAGCGUAGUAGCAUAUCAUCUCGCUCUGGGCGUGCUGCGGGUUCCGGCCGUUAAAGCCUUUUUUUUUUACCCAAGGUUGACCUCGGAUCAGGUAGGAAGACCCGCUGAACUUAAGCAUAUCAAUAAGCGGAGGA
rnacentral:misc_RNA from 1 species